GCGCAGCAGGCGAGAAACUUUACAAUGUGCGAAAGCACGAUAAGGGAACUCUGAGUGCCUCCUAAGGAGGCCGUUCAGGUGUCUAAAAGCACCUGAAGGAAGGGCUGGGUAAGACCGGUGCCAGCCGCCGUGGUAACACCGGCAGCCCAAGUGGUAGCCACGUUUAUUGGGUCUAAAGCGUCCGUAGCCGGCUGGGUAAGUUCCUUGGGAAAUUUGGCUGCUUAACAGUCAAGCUUUCAGGGAAUACUGCCCGGCUUGGGACCGGGAGAGGUCAGAGGUACUCCAGGGGUAGGGGUGAAAUCCAUUAAUCCUUGGGGGACCACCGGUAGCGAAGGCGUCUGACCAGACCGGGUCCGACGGUGAGGGACGAAGGCUAGGGGCGCGAACCGGAUUAGAUACCCG
rnacentral:rRNA from 1 species